AUUACCGAUUUUAGCGAACCCGGUCGCUUCUGACUGAGGUCUCGCAACCUGUAUUUAAAACCCACGCUUUUUUUAAUAAUAAAAAUUAUCGUAUCAAAUUAUGAUAAAAGAUCACUUUCAACAACGGAUCUCUUGGCUCUCGCAUCGAUGAAGAACGUAGCGAAGUGCGAUAAGUAAUGUGAAUUGCAGAAUUCCGUGAGUCAUCGAAUCUUUGAACGCAAAUUGCACUCCCUGGUAUUCCGGGGAGUAUGCCUGUUUGAGGGUCAGUUUAAAUAAAUAUCGUGGUGUUGCUUUUUUGUGACGCUUCGGAAUUGGGUCAUCUUGAUCCUCUGGGGUUAAGCGGCCUAAAAUUGAUGUUAUUUCUGUGCAUCUCGGACGUACAUAAGAAUUUUUUUUAUCCGUCAGGGUUGUCAGGUUCUUAUUAGGUAUGAUCACGUUUCUUGUGAAACCAUACCUAUAACGUAACUCAUAUUUUGACCUCAAA
rnacentral:rRNA from 1 species